rnacentral:lncRNA from 1 species
ACUAGAAUGUUCUAGGAGUUUGUUACAAGAUUCCCAAUAUUCAAAUGCCCUUAAUACCCCUGUCCCUUUUCCUAAUUACUGGCCUAAGGGUUUUAAACCUUCGUUCUCAUCUAUUUGGUCAAACAUUGACCCUAGUUAGUUACUUCAGGUUAUAGACCAAAAUCAAAGUCUGAAGUGCAGACUAAAUUAUGUAGAAACAAACAAUCAAAGAGUUAAAAAUUGAUCAAUGCAACACAUGGAUUCAAGCAAAUAUCUCAAUGUGGACUAUACAUUACUAAGCAACAAAGAUAAAACCAAUUAUCACAACUUUCAGAAUCACAUGGAUACUACGAUUUUAGGACAAGGGAAAAUGAAAACUCAGAGCAUGCUUAUUCAGAGAGACACAUGAGUUCAGAUACCUAAUGGAUGAGUAAAUGGGCAGGCAUGUCUUUACAUGACAAAACCAAUUAAACUUAGAAGCAACGGAAGAAACAAAAAAAUUUAGAAAAGAACCCUAAGCAACUAUACAUGAAUUAUAAAGAUGACCAAAUUACCACACUCAGCAGAAAACUAAAAGCAAUUAAAGUAAUUAAAAAAUGAGUAAUGGAAAUUAAACACUCAGGAUAAAAAU